ensembl:snRNA U6 U6 spliceosomal RNA
GCACUCGCUUCGGCAGCACAUAUACUAAAAUUGGAACGAUACAGAAAAGACUAGCAUGGCCCCUUCACAAGUGACAUACAAAUUCAUGAAGCAUUCCAUAUUUAA